AGCUUUGCACAGUAGCAGUGUCGUAGUCAAUGAGGUUUAUCCAAGGCACGAUUAUGGCUAAUUAAAAACUUUUCCCAAUACCCUAUUGUGACGACUUGAGAGAAAAAUGAGUAGCAAAAAAUUUCAAAAGAAUUGGCAAAUA